rnacentral:lncRNA from 1 species
CUAGGACAGCCAUGAGAUUUCUAGCAGACAGGAGUUUAUGCUCCUUUAACCUAUUUAUUUAUAGAACGACAAGAAGGACAUGUGGAUUCCAAGGAUCAGUAAGAUAUAUUUCUAACAUACAGUUAGAGCAAAUUUGUUGGCUAAAAUUAAUUGUGACAUACUGGGGAGCUUUGAGGACCAUCAGUAAAACUAAACUAAACCUUUAUAUAUGCAAAUGAGGUAAUUUAUAUGAAAACACUGUAGAAACAUGAGCACAUGCCUAGUUGUAAGGGCCUGGGCCAAAACAAAGAUAGGUUCAAAUCUUGACUUUAAUUAACUUUCUGAACUAGACUCUUCAUCUAUAAAAUGAAGACAAUAAUACUUCCUUAAUACAGUGUGCCAACCCAUGGUGAUAAAAUAACCAUAAUGUUGUAGAUAAAGACAAAAGAACCAUAAGUGUUGCUUCUUACAUAAU